UACGAAGGGGGCUAGCGUUGUUCGGAAUCACUGGGCGUAAAGGGCGCGUAGGCGGCGCGACAAGUCAGGCGUGAAAGCCCCGGGCUCAACCCGGGAAUUGCGCUUGAUACUGUCGUGCUUGAGGCCGGGAGAGGAUGGCGGAAUUCCCAGUGUAGAGGUGAAAUUCGUAGAUAUUGGGAAGAACACCGGUGGCGAAGGCGGCUCUCUGGACCGAGACUGACGCUGAGGCGCGAAAGCGUGGGGAGCAAACAGG
rnacentral:rRNA from 1 species